rnacentral:rRNA from 1 species
GGUGAACGCUGGCGGUGGGCCUAACACAUGCAAGUCGAACGGCAGCACAGUAAGAGCUUGCUCUUACGGGUGGCGAGUGGCGGACGGGUGAGGAAUACAUCGGAAUCUACUUUUUCGUGGGGGAUAACGUAGGGAAACUUACGCUAAUACCGCAUACGACCUACGGGUGAAAGCAGGGGAUCUUCGGACCUUGCGCGAUUGAAUGAGCCGAUGUCGGAUUAGCUAGUUGGCGGGGUAAAGGCCCACCAAGGCGACGAUCCGUAGCUGGUCUGAGAGGAUGAUCAGCCACACUGGAACUGAGACACGGUCCAGACUCCUACGGGAGGCAGCAGUGGGGAAUAUUGGACAAUGGGCGCAAGCCUGAUCCAGCCAUACCGCGUGGGUGAAGAAGGCCUUCGGGUUGUAAAGCCCUUUUGUUGGGAAAGAAAAGCAGCAGGUUAAUACCCCGCUGUUCUGACGGUACCCAAAGAAUAAGCACCGGCUAACUUCGUG